AGAUUGAACGCUGGCGGCAGGCCUAACACAUGCAAGUCGAGCGGUAGAGAGGUGCUUGCACCUCUUGAGAGCGGCGGACGGGUGAGUAAAGCCUAGGAAUCUGCCUGGUAGGUGGGGGAUAACGCUCGGAAACGGACGCUAAUACCGCAUACGUCCUACGGGAGAAAGCGAGGGGACCUUCGGGCCUUG
rnacentral:rRNA from 1 species